UUAAAAUUAAAUUUGAAUUUAAUGUACACAAUUAUAAAGUUUAAGCUAAAAUUGAUUUUUAAAUUCAAUUUUAUAAAGGUUUAUUACUUAUCAAAUUUCACUAUCUAACUUGGUAAGUAAAAAAAUUAAACAAAAAAAUAAAUAUUUGUAUAUGGUUGAUCAAAUUUGGUAAUUAGUUUGUAUUUGUUUUCUCAUAUUACCCUUAUGAAUGGUAACCUAUUGAGCAGGUAACCAGUAUACAAAAGUCAAUCUCGUCCUUAAAAUAUAAACGACUAGAUUUAAUUUACCUGAUGUAUUGAAGCAUUCCUUAUAUAAAAUAAGUAUUUUUAACCACUACAUAAACUAAGCUUCAAUUUGUUUGGUUCAUAGAUUAUGUGGCAGCGGAUGGCGUGUCCAUAUCGUAGUUAACAAAACUACCAUCGACUUCUCUUUCGGAGUAAUUUCUUCGUCGUUUCCUCUGAUACUCACCAGCUUGUUUUUUUCCUCUUGCAUAGCUUUUUUUUUUUUAUAUUUAAAUCAUUUUGCGGAGGCUUGAGAAGAAUUAAAUGGCAUAAAUAUUAAAUAUAAAAAUAUAUAAACACCGUUCUUUAACUGUUGGAGAACGGUGUUUAUCUAUUUUAUAUUUAACAAUAAACUUUCUUUUUUUGAGACAAGGAUAGCACGCUACCAGUUUUAUUCAGUAAGAAGGUGAAUUAAGCUAUAUGGGUGAGACAACAAGAGCCUCAACGUGUGGUGCGAAAAAAAAAAAAAAUGUUAACAGUUUGGCCACUCCUCUGGACUAAGUUUCUUUCACAGGUCCGUCAGCUGCUGAAUUUUGUAGAUAUCGAUUGUUGGGUCAGUUUGGAUUAUUCUGAAAAUCGCUCUAUUCCUGAAGUCCCAAAUGACCCACCAACAAUAAACUCUUUUCAAUCAAAAGGCUAGCAUA
rnacentral:lncRNA from 1 species